AGAAUCAACGCUGGCGGCGUGCCUAACACAUGCAAGUCGAACGAGAAAGUGGAGCAAUCCAUGAGUAAAGUGGCGCACGGGUGAGUAACACGUGACUAACCUACCCUUGAGUGGGGGAUAACCUAGGGAAACCUGGGCUAAUACCGCAUAAUACCUUCGGGUCAAAGGAGCAAUUCGCUUAAGGAGAGGGUCGCGGCCGAUUAGUUAGUUGGCGGGGUAAUGGCCCACCAAGACUGUGAUC
rnacentral:rRNA from 1 species